UACGUAGGGUGCAAGCGUUGUCCGGAAUUAUUGGGCGUAAAGAGCUCGUAGGCGGUGUGUCACGUCGUUCGUGAAAACCUGCAGCUUAACUGUGGGCGUGCGGUCGAUACGGGCAUCACUGGAGUUCGGCAGGGGAGACUGGAAUUCCUGGUGUAGCGGUGAAAUGCGCAGAUAUCGGGAGGAACACCGGUGGCGAAGGCGGUUCUCUGGGCCUUACCUGACGCUGAGGAGCGAAAGCGUGGGGAGCGAACAGG
rnacentral:rRNA from 1 species